GACGAACGCUGGCGGCGUGCUUAAUACAUGCAAGUCGAGCGGUGAACCCGACUGAAAGCCUUCGGGCUUGACGUUGGGGGAUCAGCGGCGGAUGGGUGAGUAACGCGUGGGUACCUGCCCUAAAGUCUGGGAUAACAACUCGAAAGGGUUGCUAAUACCGGAUGUGACCGAGAGGUUAAAGGCAGAGAUGUCGCUUUAGGAUGGGCCCGCGUCCCAUUAGCUAGUUGGUGAGGUAAGGGCUCACCAAGGCUGCGAUGGGUAGCCGGCCUGAGAGGGUGGACGGCCACACUGGGACUGAGACACGGCCCAGACUCCUACGGGAGGCAGCAGUGGGGGAAUUUUGGACAAUGGGCGCAAGCCUGAUCCAGCCAUGCCGCGUGUGGGAAGAAGGCCUUCGGGUUGUAAACCACUUUUGUUCAGGGAAGAAACGGUUUGACUUAAUACGUUGAACUAAUGACGGUACCUGAAGAAUAAGCACCGGCUAACUACGUG
rnacentral:rRNA from 1 species